ensembl:lncRNA
CCGGGCUGGCGGGAGGGGUCUGUCCCCAAGCGCCGCUGCGGCUGGAGCCUGGGACCUGGAUCUCUGCGUGUAUCCGGGGCAUUUUCGCUCCAGGGCCAGAUUCGACCCACGCCCCCUUCCCUGCUCGCCUUCCAUUUCUUCAUCUGUCCUCCUCUCCUGUCCCCGUCCCGGACAUCUGGGCUCAUCCUCCUCCUCUGGUCAUUUCUUUCUGUUGAUUCUAUUGUCUUGUCUGAUCCUCAUCCGUCGCGGAGCCAGUGCUCCGUGUAACCCCAUUCUUCCAGUCUGGGUCAGUUGGUGGCGGUGAACUCGCUGGGACAACUCCCUUCCUAGCUUAGGAUCUCUGUGGUGUGACGCAGUCGGGUCCCAUUGUGCGGUUUUUGCCCUGAGUACCUGCUCAGGGAGUCCGGGGAAGGGGGGGAGACCUCCAGCAGGUCUCCGGGACGGGGCCCACGCCGACUGUGCUGACUUGCACCAGUAGUAGGUCGAGUUACUUUGGGCCAGAAUCAAGUUAAUUUCCACGAGUUCUAGUAGGAGUGUCACACCAGCCCCAAAUUCAGCUCCCUCAGUUCUGUGACUCUCCAGUUAUUAAGCCUGGAAGGUGAAAGGGAAACUCUUGAGUGAUUGUGUGUUUUCUGGACUUGCCUAGGUCUCUAGAUGUUGACCAGUGGAAACUUCCCCACUGCAGAAUCCUGUGUGCUUUUAGUCUUUGUGGCAGGGAAUGCUUGCAGUUGGGAAGGAAAUGCCUCCUCUUUUUGCUGUACCCCUGCCUCAGGAUUCUGGUACCAAAUGUAAGACUUUGCGUGGUCAUUUCUGUGGCUUCUCUUUUCAUUCUGCUAACGUGGAAAACAGAACUCCUGAUUUAAGAGUCACUGUGUAUUUGAAGUUGUUCUUGAGGAUUUUCUUAGAUUUGCUGGAGAGAAUGCCCUUGGCUUGAGUUGAAUGCUUAUUGCCUGGAGGGAUCUCCCAUGUGGGGAUCCCGUCAUCCUUCUAGUCUUUGACAAAGGGAGAUGACCUGCACACAACUCUGGUACGGUUGGGGCCACGAUCCAGAGUCUGCACUCUCCUUCCCCUCAGUGCUGAAAUCAAUGGCUGUCCUCCCAGCAAAUACUCCUGCUUAUUUUUUUUUAUGACCAGGUUAGUUCCUCAAGGAAACCUGGUCCUCUGCUGUCCCUAGAUGCUGCGACAGAUGCAGUUAGUGGAGGUGGCCACCCUUCACCUACUCUACAACUUGUUUCAGAGGAUGCUAUCAGGCGUAGAUGGGUGCCCACAGAGGAUGAGCUGGACCGAAGCUGGCUGCUUUCAUCUGCAGUAACUCAGUUUCUCAUUUGUAACUGGAGAAUACUAAGGCUUUCACCAGAGUUAAAGAAGAAAUGACAGCUUGGGGACAGGUUCUCAUAUACCCAGCAAGGUAAUGAUCUGUGGAGUCUGAGGCCAGCAGAGUCAAACUGGGUUAUUUGGCCAAAAAAGUUAGUGUAUCAUGGUUUGGAGCCUGCUUUGAAAAACCCCAGAAUAGGUCACUUUGUUGUAUAGCAGAAAUUGGCACAACAUUGUGAAUUAACUGUACAUUAAUAAAAAAAAAAAUAAAUAAAUAAAUAAAAAGGAGUUCCCAUCGUGGCUCACUGGAAAUGAAUCGAACUAGCAUCCAUGAGGAUGUAUGUUCCAUCCCUGGCCUUGCUCAGUGCAUUAAGGACGCGGUGUUGCCAUGAGCUGUGGUAUAGGUCAUAGACGUGGCUCAGAUCCCAUGUUGCUGUGGCUGUGGCAUAGGCCAAUGGCCACAGCCCCAAUUCCACCCCUAGCCUGGGAACCUCCAUAUGCUGUGGGUGUGGCCCUAAAAAGACAGAAAAAAAAAGAAAGAAAGCAAGCAAGCAAGCAAGCAAGCACAGCCCAAGGUGCUGGAUGAGGGGGAAAGCUUAUUUUGUCUUUACUUUUAUUUUAUGUUUUUACUUUUAAUCUAGUCCUGUUCGAGCUGAUAUUUUAGUGAGUGCCAAAGUCCCUUUUGGAAAUGAGCUGUUGAUCUUCAGCUCAGCGUCUGUGGCUGAUUAGCCCAGCUGGGCUGCCUGACAAACCUUAUUCUUUAGAAUGUUUGUAAAUCACAGAAUUUACUUAAGUGGAGAUAUUAAGGGUCUCAAAGAAGUAGUUGGCCACCAAACUUUGUUGAGUGUGGGUCUAAAGAGUUUAGUGGAAAUCGUUUUUUCCUCUUCUUCCCACAUCCCAGUUAUCUUCUGAUCCUUGUCACAGGACAGAACCGUGCUUAUCUUAUCCUCUAUUGAGGAAGAUGAUGAGCUAUUUGGUGAUAAGUAUCUCCUUAAAUCCUCAUGGAUACUAGUAGGAUUCAAUUCCACUGUUCCACAAUUGGCCAUGACACAUCACUGCUACAACUUCAUUUACUACUGGCUUCCACUAAAUUUUUGCUGUGUGUUGAAGCUCUGGUGGGUACUCUAUAGUCAUCUUCAGCAGUGGGUGCUAUUUAUUACACCUAUUUGACAAAGGAGGAAACUAGGGCCCAGAAAAACAGACUUUCCAACUUACUUAGGUCAAGAAAAGGGUAGAACUAGAGCGCUAACUUGGAUGGUCCAUUUGACCCUACUGAGAUCCUGCUCCUGAAGAUAUAAGUGCCACUGUAGCUACCUUGGUUUUAUUUAUUUGGCACAGUACAGGUGUUUAUCAUUCUUUAACUUCAAAUGCCUACAUUGGGGCCAUUUGAUCUCUAGGCUAAUCAUGGUAUUUGAUAGGAGGAAAAAGGUUUUGUUUAAAGUAGUUUUUGCGGAGUUCCCAUCAUGGCUCAGUGGUUUACAGAUCCGACUAGGAACCAUGAGGUUGUGGCUUUGGUCCCUGGCCUUGCUCAGUGGGUUAAGGAUCCAGUGUUGCUGUGAGCUGUGGUGUAGGUUGCAGAUGCUGGCUCAGAUCCCACAUUGCUGUGGCUCUGGCUCUGACACAGGCCAGUGGCUACAGCUCUGAUUAUACCCCUAGCCUGGGAACUUCCAUAUGCUAAGGGAGUGGCCCUAGAAAAGACAAAAAAAAAGUUUUUGCUAUUGUUGUCAUUUAUUAUACAAAUAAAUGGUCAAAAAAACAGAAUAUGCAGAUUAUAAAGUGAAAAAUACUCUUUCUUCUGUAUCUUUUAAGACAUUUUCUAGGCAUGUAAAAAACACAUGUAUUUUGCAUGACCAUAAAAUAUGCAUGUAUAGUGUAUAUACAUACCACAGCCCUAGUUUUUUUUUCAAUCCAGUUGAAGUCAUACUACAGAAACUCUUCUAUACCUUGGCUUUUUCACUUAACAGGUCUUAGAGAUUAUUCCAUAUUGGAUCAUAUGGAUAUGAUCUUCUUUACAAUGUCUGUACAGCAUUCCAUUUAGUGAAUUGACCACAGUUUAUUAAACCAGUCAGUUCAUUAUUAGUGGAUGCUUAAGGCGAUUUCUGUUUGUUUUGUUUUCGUUUCGGUUUCUGAACAAUGAUGCAAUGAAUUUCCUCAAAUAGGCAUGUGGAUGUACUUUCCCAAGUAGUAAUUCUAGAUGGGGGAUUGUUGUGUCAAGGGGAAUAUUCACUUAGAAGGGUGAUAAAAGUUGCUACAUGGCCCAGUAGAGAGUGUACUCUGUUCUUUGUUCCCACUAGCAGUGCUUGGGAGUGAGAGCAUGUUGCUUUUGGUCCCUGAAAACCUCCAUUGCUUCAAAUCUUGCCAUCAGCCUUUGCGUCAACCAAGCUCAAUAUCUCUUCCAAGAACACAUUGUGCCCUUCUAUUGCCUUUUUCUUGGGCACAUUUUGUACUGUUUCUUCUAAAUACCGGUUUAAUGGGACUGAGUUCCUUUUCAUAAGUUUUAAGGCCCAGUCACACUAAAGAGAAAGACUGCAGACUGAGCUGCUUUGGAGGAGAGUGGGGUCUGCCUUUUAAUCACUGCUCUGGGCCUUUGGGAAUUCUGUUAGGGACCCAGGGAGACAGAAGGAAGUCAACUAGUGCUGAAAAAAUAAAAAUAAUAAUAAAAAAAAGUCUUGCAGCAAAAUACAGGCCUAAAUCAUCCUGUCAUCUAUCAUGUCCUCCAAUCAGCUCCACUCCUCAUCAUCAAGAUAAGGAGAGUUCUCUAUCUAUGCCAUACAGAUAAUGAGCGGUGGGCUUUGGCAGAGUUAUCUAUCAGUCUCUCAUUCUCUCUAUCCAUCUAUCAAUCCACUGGGCACCUACUUGUGCCUAUCACAGAAAUCAGCCCUACAAACUGUUGUCUGGGGGUGGGGGCCAUUGCAAAGGUGUGUACAUGUCACCGAGGUAUUAUGAGUACCCGGCUUGGGGUUGGUGUACGGUGGGAGGUGGGGUGGGGGAUUUUGCAGGAAAGUUUUUGAGUAGGGUGACCAAUUUGUCCUGGUUUGCCUGGGACUUUCCCAGUUUUAAAACUGAAAGUCCCAUGUCCUAGGAACCCUCCUCAGUGCCAGGUGUACCAGGAGAGUUGGUCUUCCCAGAGGCAGAAAGGGAGCAAUGGAAUGGAUAGUUAGGAAUCUGCAUACAAUUAAGAUAUGUAGACAGUCUGCUCAGCCAGGGUAAUGCCCCUUAGCUGUUAUGAACUUGCUGUUCAGAAAAACUUACAGCCUGCUGCUUUGUCCAUAUUUACCAUAUUUACUUUUGCAUGCAUCAGGGUGAUAUUGCACUAUGUUCCUGAGAUGACUGGGGCACAAAUGUCUUGUAGGAAUCCAUAAAAUGAGAAACUUUCUAAGGAAAUAAUAAAUUUUAAAAAUGUGGUUUCCUUUUAAAUAAAAAAAAAAAAUCUUUUCUGCAGGCACUAGACAAACCAAUUCUCCAAAGGAUAAUCCAACAAUAGGCUUUAAAAAAUAUUCCUUGUUGAACUCUUCAACUUUAGUGACCCACACAACUUGAGGGGAAGUUUCAUUUCUCAGGAGAGAUGGAGCCAUUGAAUCUGUCUUUUAACCACAACUCGUUUGCUUUUCCGUAUUUCUUUAGGAGUUCCUUCCUCUUUUUGUCUUGGGGAGCGUCUCCCUCUAAUUUGGUCUUUUCCUUUUCAUAGAUUGAUGUCUUUAAAAGGCAUGCCGGGGGCCAGCAGGCAUUGGUAGAAAGGUCGUGCAGAAACAAUAAUGUGAUUUCAGGAUUAUUUGGGACUGCAUGUUAAAAUGGCGCUUCUAAAUGAAACUCUUUAAUAUGUGCAUUAAAAAUGUUUGGGAGUUUCUGCCAUGGCGUAGAGGAAAUGAAUCCGACUGGGAACCAUGAGGAUGACGGUUCGAUCCCUGGCCUCACUCAGUGGGUUAAGGAUCUGGUGUUGCUGUGAGCUGUGGUGUAGGUUGCAGAUGUGGCUCAGAUCCCGAAUUGCUGUGGCUGUGGCGUAGGCUGGCUGCUACAGCUCCAAUUGAACCCAUAGCCUGGGAACCUCCAUGUGCCGUGGGUGUGGCCCUAAAAAGACAAAGGCAAAAAAAAAAAAAAAAAAAAA